ACUGUGCUGAUGAGUCUCAAUAGGGCGAAACAGCUGUCCACAGU
rnacentral:hammerhead_ribozyme from 1 species